UUCGCAUGAAGCAGUGUGAAAAACUCCGGUGGUACAAGAUGGACCCGCGUCUGAUUAGCUGGUUGGUGAGGUAACGGCCCACCAAGGCGACGAUCAGUAGCCGGCCUGAGAGGGUGAACGGCCACAUUGGGACUGAGACACGGCCCAAACUCCUACGGGAGGCAGCAGUGGGGAAUAUUGCACAAUGGGGGAAACCCUGAUGCAGCAACGCCGCGUGAGUGAAGAAGUAUUUCGGUAUGUAAAGCUCUAUCAGCAGGAAAGAAAAUGACGGUACCUGUCUAAGAAGCCCCGGCUAACUACGUGCCAGCAGCCGCGGUAAUACGUAGGGGGCAAGCGUUAUCCGGAUUUACUGGGUGUAAAGGGAGCGUAGACGGUUUUGCAAGUCUGAAGUGAAAGCCCGGGGCUUAACCCCGGGACUGCUUUGGAAACUGUAGAACUAGAGUGCAGGAGAGGUAAGUGGAAUUCCUAGUGUAGCGGUGAAAUGCGUAGAUAUUAGGAGGAACACCAGUGGCGAAGGCGGCUUACUGGACUGUAACUGACGUUGAGGCUCGAAAGCGUGGGGAGCAAACAGGAUUAGAUACCCUGGUAGUCCACGCCGUA
rnacentral:rRNA from 1 species